AGUCGUAACAAGGUCUCCGUUGGUGAACCAGCGGAGGGAUCAUUACAGAGUUUACAACUCCCAAACCCUUAUGUGAACAUACCAUAAUGUUGCUUCGGCGGACUCGCCCCGGCGUCCGGACGGCCUAGCGCCGCCCGCGGCCCGGACCCAGGCGGCCGCCGGAGACCACCAAAACUAUUUUGUAUCAGCAGUUUUUUCUGAAUCCGCCGCAAGGCAAAACAAAUGAAUCAAAACUUUCAACAACGGAUCUCUUGGUUCUGGCAUCGAUGAAGAACGCAGCGAAAUGCGAUAAGUAAUGUGAAUUGCAGAAUUCAGUGAAUCAUCGAAUCUUUGAACGCACAUUGCGCCCGCCAGCAUUCUGGCGGGCAUGCCUGUUCGAGCGUCAUUUCAACCCUCGACUUCCCUUUGGGGAAAUCGGCGUUGGGGACUGGCAGCAUACCGCCGGCCCCGAAAUGGAGUGGCGGCCCGUCCGCGGCGACCUCUGCGUAGUAAUCCAACCUCGCACCGGAACCCCGACGUGGCCACGCCGUAAAACACCCCACUUUCUGAACGUUGACCUCGGAUCAGGUAGGAAUACCCGCUGAACUUAAGCAUAUCAAUAA
rnacentral:misc_RNA from 1 species